CUUUCGCGGUCGCUCUUCGGCCUGCUGAACCGUCGCCGCUGUCUGGAGCCCGAGAGUCGCGAAGAGGACGGCGCAGGGAAAUGCGAGCGUGGUGCGGCUCUUUUUGAGUGAUGGAGCCGCAAGGGGCCUGAAGACCUCUGGGCCAACCCCCCUUCUUUCCCAGUUUACAGAGGGAAACUGAGGCCGGGGGCGGGGCGCGGGCAGGAUUUGGCGACAUCUCUCGGCGAGGCGUGAGCAGGCGGGGAUUCGUGCGCCGCUGACCCCAGGCUUCCCGACUCCAGGGCUGGGGUUGUCCGUGGCCUCGCCGCACCGGCUGGCACCCUGGCGAGGCGCGCGCCCGCAGCAGGUGGCGCGUCCUGCAGCGUCGUCGCCCCCGGCCCCCGCAGUGACCCUCUCCCUUCUGUGACGUCAGGCGCCCAGCACAGGGCGCGGGUCCGGGGACAGGAGCGGGAGUCGGAGAAAGGACCCCACGGUGUGUUUAGUGCCACAAAAGCUGGGAAAACUGAGGCACUUACCUGAAUGCAAACUGUUUCCAGUGGAACAGCUGGGAUGCUUACCUAGGCCCUCUGAAGAGAGAGCCCAUGGUCUUCGGCCCCAUGCCCCUCCUGGAUCUGCCAUGGCCUCUGGAGGGCGCCAGCGAGGGCCAGUGAAGAGCUGAGAGUCAUGAGACCAGGCAUGUGUGCACACCAGGUGGACUUGCCUCACAGGACCCAAACCGUGCCAGGCCCUCUGCCCCCCCGGGCUGUUGGGAAUGCUCCGUCUUCUCUUGGAUAGCUCAGGCUCACCCUCUGGUCUCCAGUUGAGAUUCCCUCCUUGGAGAACCCUCCUCUGACCCCCCAGCUAAUUCGUGGCUACCUCCAACCCCAAGGCCCUGUCUGUGGCCAGGUAUCACUCCACUGUCUUGAAGUUUGUUUCCUGCCUGGUUCUCUCACCAGACAUCGGCCUUCCAGGCAGGGCUAAGUCCUGCUCAUCUCGAGUGCUCUCAAGCAUCUCAGGGUCCCCAGCACAGAGGAGAGAAGCCACUGAACUGUGAGAUCAGUGUGCACCCUGCACUGCAGGUCCCAUUCACACUCAGUAAAGGAAAGAGGCCAGGCCAGCCGGGAGCCCCUUGCCAGCAUCCCUGACCUCUCCCUGGGUCUGCAGAGGCUUCCCCCGCCAGACCCCAAAUUGCUUCUUUGAUGAGCAGUGUGGCUGGGCUCAACUGGGGCUUGGUGUAGAAAGAAGGUGUCUCUCUGGAAACCUCACUGUGUGGAAAUCCUGCAAGUCCGAGGCACGCGGGGGCAACGGCGGUGUUCAGAACCUCCAGCAUCCUCUUGCCAAAGCUGCAGGUCUCUUUGUCCUUUCUCCACCUCCGAAUACAGCCCAGGAAUUGAUUUCCUUCUCAGCCAAACAGUGAAGCAAACGAAAUGGGAUUUCACUGUGGGACUUUCUAACCGCUCAGUAAUUCAGAACCACGUGAAACCAGGAGUAAAGACAGCGGCUGACUCGCAGCUCAGAGCCCUUCUGCAGCACAGGCCCGCACCCGAUGUCAGCUAAGUCAGGCCCAACCUCCCCACCGCACACCUGCGCUCACCUGAAGCCUCAGGCAGGUUACCGUGGGGAGUGUGCUGCCACGGCGUCCACGUGCAUGGUGGUCCCUGGCGGCCGAGUCGAUUGCACAGUUUCAGCUGCCCAGCUGACUCGGCAGUGUUUUGCCACCCCAGAGCAAUCAUGAGAGGUUGUUCAUUGCAAUGAUGGAACCAAGAGGGAUAGACAGGCCAGAUUCUGGAAAUGACUCACACCGUGCAAGGCCUGGAUUUGGCCAGUCAUCAGAAAGCCCUUCCUCUGAUUAAGCUUUGUGCUGUGCAGAAGAAACGGACGCGGGGUCAGGAGCACGUGGGGGAACUGAGAGUGGGAGAGGAAAGCAAGCGGCAAGCUCAGAGCACCCAAUUUUUUAUCAGGAGCCACCACUCCUCCCCCAUGCAGCCCAUGGACCUCACAGAAAGCUGACCCCACCCCCAGCUAGGAGGUUGGCUCUGUGAGUCUAAGGGUGACCCCAUCACCCUGGAGAUUGAGAUGGGCUACAUCAACCAGCA